rnacentral:rRNA from 1 species
GCCAGACUCCUACGGGAGGCAGCAGUGGGGGAUAUUGCACAAUGGGGGGAACCCUGAUGCAGCGACGCCGCGUGGGUGAAGAAGUAUUUCGGUAUGUAAAGCCCUAUCGGCAGGGAAGAAUUUAGACGGUACCUGACUAAGAAGCCCCGGCUAACUACGUGCCAGCAGCCGCGGUAAUACGUAGGGGGCAAGCGUUAUCCGGAUUCGCUGGGUGUAAAGGGAGCGUAGACGGCCAUGCAAGCCUGGAGUGAAAGCCCGGGGCCCAACCCCGGGACUGCUCUGGGAACUGUGCGGCUGGAGUGCGGGAGGGGCAGGCGGAAUUCCUGGUGUAGCGGUGAAAUGCGUAGAUAUCAGGAGGAACACCGGCGGCGAAGGCGGCCUGCUGGACCGUGACUGACGUUGAGGCUCGAGAGCGUGGGGAGCAAACAGGAUUAGAUACCCCCGUAGAA